rnacentral:rRNA from 1 species
AUACGUAGGUGGCAAGCGUUGUCCGGAAUUCUUGGGCGUAAAGCGCGCGCAGGCGGUCCUUUCAGUCUGAUGUGAAAGCCCACGGCUCAACCGCGGAGGGUCAUUGGUCACUGGGGGACUUGAGUGCAGAAGAGGAAAGUGGAAAUCCAAGGGUAGCGGUGAAAUGCGUAGAGAUUUGGAGGAACACCAGUGGCGAAGGCGACUUUCUGGUCUGUAACUGACGCUGAGGCGCGAAAGCGUGGGGAGCAAACAGGAUUAGAUACCCUGGUAGUCCACGCCGUAAACGAUGAGUGCUAAGUGUUAGGGGGUUUCCGCCCCUUAGUGCUGCAGCUAACGCAUUAAGCACUCCGCCUGGGGAGUACGGUCGCAAGACUGAAACUCAAAGGAAUUGGCGGGG